rnacentral:rRNA from 1 species
UAGGGAAUCUUCCGCAAUGGACGCAAGUCUGACGGAGCAACGCCGCGUGAGUGAAGAAGGAUUUCGGUUCGUAAAACUCUGUUGUUAGAGAAGAACAGCGCAUAGAGUAACUGUUAUGCGUGUGACGGUAUCUAACCAGAAAGCCACGGCUAACUACGUGCCAGCAGCCGCGGUAAUACGUAGGUGGCAAGCGUUGUCCGGAUUUAUUGGGCGUAAAGCGAGCGCAGGCGGUCAAUUAAGUCUGAUGUGAAAGCCCCCGGCUCAACCGGGGAGGGUCAUUGGAAACUGGUUGACUUGAGUGCAGAAGAGGAGGGUGGAAUUCCAUGUGUAGCGGUGAAAUGCGUAGAUAUAUGGAGGAACACCAGUGGCGAAGGCGACUCGCUGGUCUGUAACUGACGCUGAGGCUCGAAAGCGUGGGUAGCAAACAGG